GAGGCAACUGCCUGGCCAGUGUGGAGGCAGCUUUAGUCCCUGGGACCGUUUCUGUGCCCAAGGAGAGGGAGGGCAGGGGAAGGAUGGAAUUUCAUCUAGAGUAGCAGGUCCUGGUUACCUGGUAAAUUAUGCAUCAGGACUGGGCUAGCCACUGCCUCCGUUUUCUCUGGGCUCCUGAGAUAACCUCCACCUGCCUCUAGAUUCUGUGCCAGCUGAUCGUAUCUAUCUCAUCAACUCUUGUUCCAUCAGGAAACUGCAUCUUGGAUUCUGGGUCAACAUCAUCCCCGCGGUGGAUCCAUUGGUGAGAGCAAUAAUGAAGCAGGUUUGCCACCAGGCUCCCAAAGAAGUGGGAACACUGACUGCAAAGGGCACAAUCUGAUUGGAUGAAAAGCGAGGCCUCAGAAGCAUUGGCACGUGUCCGCGAAGAGCCUAGCUGGAGAGACCCAGACACAUGCAAAUGGCCUUCUGAGUUCAUUCUUGAUGGAGAGGAGCUGGAAGAAUCCACUAAGGACAAAUUGCCCUGUGGAUUUAGUAAGAGAUCUGUAUAUAAUGGAGCCCCCUGAGGCUGGCUUGUUAAAGUAGUAUCUUCUGCUUCCCUGACAGCAAAUUCGUGUGCACUGUUUACUGGGAAAUAAUUAUGGUUUUCGGCACUGGCAAAUGGAGUCCUAUUUCUAAUGGGAGACAGUGGUUGGCAAACAUGAAACCCUGAGUUUCCCUCUGAGUCUGAGCUGUGAACUGAAGUCGAUGACAUUGACAAGUCUAAUGGAAUAUCAUCUCUCAGAGCAGAAUGCAUGAAUGAUGCAGGAGGGUUAUAGGAUGAAUUCACUGAUGAUCUUGGAGAUAUUGGUCUGCCAGAAAUAAAGUAGUCAAGAGAAUUUUGAGAACUGUUUAAAUAGUCUUGCCAGUAUCCUUCAGAAUCAUGGGUGCCAGGCCUAUGUUCCACAGAAAUACAAUCACUCCAUGCAUUUUCAGCAUUGACACCAACCUCUUGUCUGGGCUCGGAUUUGGUGUCCCACGAAAGAGGGCUCUUUUUCGCAUUUUCACUGCCACCUCUGUCCUUCUCUGUAGCAGAUUCCCUAUCAGGCAGCCAGGGGUCUUGGGACAACCUUUGCCCAGCAGAAGGCCGCUCUGUUGCUGGCUCCAUUGCAUUGCUUAUUCUCAAUGAGCCAUGACUGGGCUCACUUCUUCUUGAAGAAUGACCUCUGCAAUUUUCAGCAUUUUCUUCAAAAUUUUUAUUUUUGGCCUGAGGGGUCGAUGUCCCCCUAAAUCUACUUCUUUUGUGAUGGGAAGGAGAACGGGGUGAGCGCAUACCAACCCACAGACAUUCUUCAACCUGGGUUUCCUCUUCAGUGUCAUCGCUUUCUCUUCUGCUGUUCAAUGACAAAAUGGAAUAGAAGUCUUCAUCUCGGAACCUAAAUGAUGCCUUUCUUGGCCCUCCUACAGUGGUGGGUGUGAGUGGUGGCCCCGAGAACUCACUCAAUACUUGAGGACUAUUUGUUCCUUGGAAGGCCUGGGACAGGGCUGGAUGCAGCUCACUCUGGGAAGGAGCACUCGGGUCUCCUUUUUUGGCUCUAUCAGGGGGGUUCUCAGUCAUUGGCUGUGACGAUGGGACCAAGUUUCUUCUCUCUCGAUUUGGCCUCUUCAGCUUAGUGUUACACAUCAGGACUUCUUGUUGAACUACUUGAUCUGCAUUGAGAAAAGACACAUUUAUCAUUCCAGUAAAAGGGCCCAUGGAUGAAAGGCCUCUAGCACCAAGUGCAAAAUUGCCCUUUAAAUGCAACAGAUAAGACCUAGAGAAGAAAACAGACACGGUCAAAAUGGCUGGAGGUACAAGAGGAGCAGAGCCCAGCAGGCUUCAUUUUACUGCCCCGUAUUCUCCUUUGUACCCCUGUGGUCCUAGGGAAACGGGGGGACCCUGAGGAUACAGAUUCUUUCUGCAGAAGCUCCCGGAAGACUGGCCCUGGCCCAGCCCCAGCCAGUCAGGACUGAUGAUGCGCAAACCUCACACUAAAUACUGGCUUUUGUUCCAUACGUACUGAAAGGGAAAACCACCACUCUGGGAAUGACUUCUACAAAAACCACCAGCCCUUUCUCAUCCACGUUCAUUCAAUGUACAUUUAUGACACCCUGCCUCCCACGCAGCUUUACAAGAACUUAAGAGAAGUACAACAUGUCUUGGCAGAUCAGGAGGAAGGCUAUAGGAGCUGGCGCCCGGGGAACACUGGGGAUUUUGGUCAUGUUUACUAUUUAGUGAAAAUAAAAAUUAUAAAUCGCUCAUGAAA
rnacentral:antisense_RNA from 1 species